ACGGCCGCAAGGUUAAAACUCAAAUGAAUUGACGGGGGCCCGCACAAGCGGUGGAGCAUGUGGUUUAAUUCGAUGCAACGCGAAGAACCUUACCUGGUCUUGACAUCCACGGAAGUUUUCAGAGAUGAGAAUGUGCCUUCGGGAACCGUGAGACAGGUGCUGCAUGGCUGUCGUCAGCUCGUGUUGUGAAAUGUUGGGUUAAGUCCCGCAACGAGCGCAACCCUUAUCCUUUGUUGCCAGCGGUCCGGCCGGGAACUCAAAGGAGACUGCCAGUGAUAAACUGGAGGAAGGUGGGGAUGACGUCAAGUCAUCAUGGCCCUUACGACCAGGGCUACACACGUGCUACAAUGGCGCAUACAAAGAGAAGCGACCUCGCGAGAGCAAGCGGACCUCAUAAAGUGCGUCGUAGUCCGGAUUGGAGUCUGCAACUCGACUCCAUGAAGUCGGAAUCGCUAGUAAUCGUGGAUCAGAAUGCCACGGUGAAUACGUUCCCGGGCCUUGUACACACCGCCCGUCACACCAUGGGAGUGGGUUGCAAAAGAAGUAGGUAGCUUAACCUUCGGGAGGGCGCUUACCACUUUGUGAUUCAUGACUGGGGUGAAGUCGUAACAAG
rnacentral:rRNA from 1 species